GAGGGUUUAGCUUAAGUGGUAAAGCUUAUGCUUAGCAUGCACAAGGUCCUGGAUUCAAUCUCCAGUACCUCCU
rnacentral:tRNA from 1 species